rnacentral:rRNA from 1 species
UAAGGGAUAUUGCGCAAUGGGCGAAAGCCUGACGCAGCAACGCCGCGUGGAGGAUGACGGCCUUCGGGUUGUAAACUCCUUUGGACGCAGACGAGGAAGGACGGUAUGCGUCAAACAAGUCACGGCUAACUACGUGCCAGCAGCCGCGGUAAAACGUAGGUGGCAAGCGUUAUCCGGAUUUACUGGGCGUAAAGCGUGUGCAGACGGGUCGUCAAGUGGUGUAUGAAAUCGCUCGGCUCAACCGGGCGCGGGUAUGCCAGACUGGCGGUCUAGAGGGUGCGAGAGGGACGUGGAAUUCCGGGUGUAGUGGUGAAAUGCGUAGAGAUCCGGAGGAACCCCUGAGGCGAAGGCGGCGUCCUGGCGCACUUCUGACGUUCAGACACGACAGCAUGGGGAGCGAACGGGAUUAGAAACCCCGGUAGUCCAUGCCGUAAACGAUGCCAACUAGGCGCUGAGGGACUCAACCCCCGCGGUCGCCGUAGCUAACGCGCUAAGUUGGCCGCC